rnacentral:rRNA from 1 species
GUCUACAGCUCUACCAUCCUAAAUGUGCCAAUCUUAUCUGGUCUCAGAAGCUAAGCAGGGUUGGGCCUGAUUAAUACUUGGAUGGGAUAAAGAGGAGACUGCUCAGAGACAAACAGUUUGGAGACA